AGAGAGAGAGAGAGAGAGAAAAUCCACCUUCCCCUUUUCCCUUUUCUUGGUUAAAAAAUCCCAAAACUCUCUUUAUGUGAUGGAAUUUGGCAAUAGCAAAUUUUUCCAAAUAUUCUCAAUGUCCAUUUGUCAUAGUUUUUGGGUAGGUUGGGAGCACCGUAUUCAGUGAAAAUUUAUAAAAUAUUCCAUUUAUUUAAAUAAAUAUUGCAUCUCAU
rnacentral:misc_RNA from 1 species